rnacentral:rRNA from 1 species
GACGAACGCUGGCGGCGUGCCUAAUGCAUGCAAGUCGCACGCGGCACCUUCGGGUGCUGAGUGGCGAACGGCUGAGGAACACGUGGGGACCUGUCCGGGAGUGGGGGACAACACCGCGAAAGCGGUGCUAAUCCCGCAUACGCUCUGAGGAGGAAAGCCGAAAGGCGCUCCCGGGUGGCCCUGCGGCCCAUCAGGUUGUUGGUGGGGUAACGGCCUACCAAGCCAAUGACGGGUCGCUGGUCUGUGAGGACGACCAGCCAGACUGGGACUGGGACACGGCCCAGACUCCUACGGGAGGCAGCAGCAAGGAAUUUUCGGCAAUGGGCGCAAGCCUGACCGAGCAACGCCGCGUGCAGGAAGACGGCCUUCGGGUUGUAAACUGCUUUUGCUAGAGAUGAUAACAGACAGUACCUGGCGAAUCAGCCCCGGCUAACUCUGUG